rnacentral:lncRNA from 1 species
AAAGGGAACGAAUCACGCGCUUGUGAAUUGUGACGUGGCACGAACGUGUCGACUCACCCAAACAGACCACAACGGUGCACAACCACUCAACGAAAAAUAUCUAAACUACAGGCCCCGUGGAACGCCGAUCUACUUUGUCUUUUCCGGCUUUGCGUCCGCCUUCGUAUCCGCCAUCACGAAGGCGAGGGCGAACUCCGCCCCUCGCGAAGAAGCUAAUCCACGGGAAGAAAUUUAUGCUUGUUGGGCGGGCAAGAUCGAGGCAAUCCUGGCGCGGAAAAAUACCAAAGGAACGCGACCUGAAUUAGGAAUUUGAGGUGAGAGAUUGAAGGUUGGGAGGUUCUGGGAAGGGGGAGGGGGGUGGUGCGUGGUGCGUACCUCUCGGUGGCGAGCUCCUCAGCUUGAAUUUGCCGCCGGCGAAGAGUGCGGCGUGGGGAGGGAGAGGUAGGAGGAGGAGAGGGUUUGGUUUUUUUUUCCCCUUUUCCGUGCUGCGUGUUCGCUCGCU